rnacentral:lncRNA from 1 species
GGACCUUCUGGGAAAGCUGAUCUCAAAGUAGCAGAGGCAGCCAUCUAAAAGGUUCAGGGGUGCCUUGCAUCUCAGAAGCAACCGGAAAACCCAAUGCAGAAGGCAAAUUGUUUAGCUAAAGAUGUGAGGUGAAACUGUUGUCCAUUUAAGUCAGUGUACACCACUGUGGAUUAGGAGCCCCAGCUUGAGGUUCUGGCUGGACAAGCAGGUAGAUUAUCAUUAAGACAUGGGUUCACAACAAGGUGACAUCACAGCUAAAGGAUCCUUCUACUCAGGAAGAUCAAACCUACAUGAAUGAAAAUAAUGUCAUGCAAUAUUGGAGGUUCAUCACAAACAGAGAAGAAAUUAAUAGCUGAGAAAACCUGGACUGGAACAUUAGUGCUUGGAACUGUCAAACCUGCAUCUUUAAAGAACUGGGCCCUUCUUCAGAGAGAAAAGAAAACAUCAAAGCUUUACUGAACAAUGUUAAUGGAUGACUUGUUUCUCUUCAUGUUACUGCAAAGAAAGAUAAAUCAUGAACCAUAAAUCUGUGUUUCUUUUUUCUUUCAUCUGUAUUCAACCUUAGUUCACUGACAUACUCUAAGAUUUCUUGUCAUUAAAAGCUUUUAGGCUGCCUAUGUAAUUUGGAAGAAAUUCUUGUUGAGUAGGAGG